GAGCUAACUCUAGCCCAAAAACAAACAACCACAACUACAUAUAAACCCAUAAAAUAAAACAUUCACCAGUCUGUAAAGUAUAGGUGAUAGAAAUACAUAUCAGGAGCGAUAGAGACAGUACCGCAAGGGAAAGAUGAAAGAUUAAUUCAAAGCACUAAAAAAGCAAAGAUUACACCUUGUACCUUUUGCAUAAUGAUUUAACUAGAAAAGGCUUAACACAGAGAACUUCGCUAAGCACCCCGAAAUCAGACGAGCUACCUAAAGACAGUUAUUUAUGAACACACUCAUCUAUGUAGCAAAAUAGUGAGAAGAUCUCUAGGUAGAGGUGAAAAGCCUACCGAGCCUGACGAUAGCUGGUUACUCAGAACCGAAUUUCAGUUCCACUUAAAAUUUACCAUAAGAAACAAUACUCCAACAUGUAAAUUUUAAUGCUAGUCUAAAGGGGGACAGCCCUUUAGAUACGGAUACAACCUUGCAUAGAGAGUAAAAUAACCCACACAGCCAUAGUUGGCCUAAAAGCAGCCACCAAUUAAGAAAGCGUUCAAGCUCAACCGUACCAACUUCUAAAUCACAAAAACCGACAUGACCUCCUAUAGCACAAACUGAGUUAAUCUAUUCACAAAUAGAUGAAUUAAUGUUAAUAUUAGUAACAAGAAAAAAUUCUCCAAGCACAAACUUAUAUCAGACCGAAUGAAUCACUGAUAGUUAACAUAUUCAUAGGAAAAAAACAAAAACAAGCCCAACCUAUAAAACGCAAUGUUAACCCAACACAGGAGUGCUAUUAAGGAAAGAUUAAAAGAAGUAAAAGGAACUCGGCAAACAAAAACCCCGCCUGUUUACCAAAAACAUCACCUCUAGCAUUACAACUAUUAGAGGCACCGCCUGCCCAGUGACAAUUGUUAAACGGCCGCGGUAUCCUGACCGUGCAAAGGUAGCAUAAUCACUUGUUCUCUAAAUAGGGACUUGUAUGAACGGCUUGACGAGGGUUUAUCUGUCUCUUACUUCCAAUCAGUGAAAUUGACCUUCCCGUGAAGAGGCGGGAAUAAACCAAUAAGACGAGAAGACCCUAUGGAGCUUUAAUUUUUCAACCACAAUUAUACAAUAACUCCUACCCCUAAUUGGCCCAACCCUAUAAUUUCUGGUUUAAUAAUUUUGGUUGGGGUGACCUCGGAGCACAAAACAACCUCCGAAUGAUUUAAAUCUAGACUAACAAGUCAAAAUAUAGAAAAAAUCAUAAAUUGACCCAUCAAUUGAUCAACGGACCAAGUUACCCUAGGGAUAACAGCGCAAUCCUAUUCUAGAGUCCAUAUCGACAAUAGGGUUUACGACCUCGAUGUUGGAUCAGGACAUCCCAAUGGUGCAACCGCUAUUAAAGGUUCGUUUGUUCAACGAUUAAAGUCCUACGUGAUCUGAGUUCAGACCGGAGCAAUCCAGGUCGGUUUCUAUCUAUUUACAAGUUUCUCCCAGUACGAAAGGACAAGAGAAACAAGGCCUACUGCCCACCAGCGCCUUAAGUCCAAUAGAUACACUUACAUCAAUCUAGUAAACUAUACACUCACCUACCCUAGAACAGGGCUA
rnacentral:rRNA from 1 species